rnacentral:tRNA from 1 species
GGUGGCUCAGUGAUAGAGUGCUUGCCUUGCAUGCAUGAAGCCCUGGGUUCAAUUCCUCAGUACCA